rnacentral:rRNA from 1 species
GUGUCAGCAGCCGCGGUAAGACGAACCGUGCGAACGUUGUUCGGAAUCACUGGGCUUAAAGGGCGCGUAGGCGGACCACCCAGUCCGGGGUGAAAUCUUUCGGCUCAACCGGAAAAGGGCCUUGGAUACUGGUGGUCUGGAGGAAGGUAGGGGCAUGCGGAACUUCCGGUGGAGCGGUGAAAUGCGUUGAUAUCGGAAGGAACGCCGGUGGCGAAAGCGGCGUGCUGGACCUUUUCUGACGCUGAUGCGCGAAAGCCAGGGGAGCGAACGGGAUUAGAUACCCCCGUAGUCC